GUUUCUAUCUAUGAAGUGUUUUCUUCCAGUACGAAAGGAUCGAAGAGAAAAGGCCCAUGCUUAAAGUAAGCCUUACCCCCACCCGAUGAAAACAACUCAAUCAGACAUAAAGGCACCCCUAGCCGCCGUAGAUAACAGCU
rnacentral:rRNA from 1 species